UAGGGAAUAUUGCACAAUGGAGGAAACUCUGAUGCAGCGACGCCGCGUGAGUGAUGAAGGCCUUCGGGUUGUAAAGCUCUGUCGCAGGGGAAUAAGAAAGUGAAGGUACCCUGCAAGAAAGGAUCGGCUAACUUCGUGCCAGCAGCCGCGGUAAGACGAGGGAUCCAAGCGUUGUUCGGAAUUAUUGGGCGUAAAGCGGGUGUAGGUGGCUAUGUAAGUCAGGUGUGAAAGCCCAGGGCUCAACCCUGGAAGUGCAUUUGAUACUGCGUAGCUUGAGUGUAGGAGAGGAUAGUAGAAUUCCUGGUGUAGUGGUGAAAUACGUAGAUAUCAGGAGGAAUACCGGAGGCGAAGGCGGCUAUCUGGCCUAACACUGACACUCAGACCCGAAAGCGUGGGGAUC
rnacentral:rRNA from 1 species